GAUGAAGAACGUAGCAAAAUGCGAUAAGUAAUGUGAAUUGCAGAAUUCAGUGAAUCAUCGAAUCUUUGAACGCAUCUUGCGCUCCUUGGUAUUCUGAGGAGCAUGCCUGUUUGAGUGUCAUUAAAUUCUCAACUACACUGACUUUGAAUUGGUGUGGCUUGGAUUUGGGGGGAAAAUUGUUGUGGGCUUUUUGUAUAGUCUGCUCCCCUGAAAUUGAUUAGCGGUACCUUUGUGGAACUGUCUACAGGUGUGAUAAUUAUCUACAUCUUAGACAUCUGCUGGAAUGCUGCUCUCUAAACCUUACUUGUAUUGACAAUCUUGACCUCAAGUCAGGUAGGACUACCCGCUGAACUUAAGCAUAUCAAUAAGCGGAGGA
rnacentral:misc_RNA from 1 species